UAUACUGCAAGUCGAGCGAAUGGAUUAAGAGCUUGCUCUUAUGAAGUUAGCGGCGGACGGGUGAGUAACACGUGGGUAACCUGCCCAUAAGACUGGGAUAACUCCGGGAAACCGGGGCUAAUACCGGAUAACAUUUUGAACCGCAUGGUUCGAAAUUGAAAGGCGGCUUCGGCUGUCACUUAUGGAUGGACCCGCGUCGCAUUAGCUAGUUGGUGAGGUAACGGCUCACCAAGGCAACGAUGCGUAGCCGACCUGAGAGGGUGAUCGGCCACACUGGGACUGAGACACGGCCCAGACUCCUACGGGAGGCAGCAGUAGGGAAUCUUCCGCAAUGGACGAAAGUCUGACGGAGCAACGCCGCGUGAGUGAUGAAGGCUUUCGGGUCGUAAAACUCUGUUGUUAGGGAAGAACAAGUGCUAGUUGAAUAAGCUGGCACCUUGACGGUACCUAACCAGAAAGCCACGGCUAACUACGUGCCAGCAGCCGCGGUAAUACGUAGGUGGCAAGCGUUAUCCGGAAUUAUUGGGCGUAAAGCGCGCGCAGGUGGUUUCUUAAGUCUGAUGUGAAAGCCCACGGCUCAACCGUGGAGGGUCAUUGGAAA
rnacentral:rRNA from 1 species